UGAAGGUUGGGCAUGGGUUUUCAACGAUUCCUAAGUUAAUCUUUUUAAGCUCAUCCAAUAUAGGCAUAUUUUUUUAUUCAAUGGAGGGCAAAGCUUCCUCGACAUCUUCUUCAAUGAUAAGAUCAUUAUUAUCAUCUUCUUCAAUAGUGAUGUGAUUUGAAGUGAGAUACAUUAUUUCAUCUUUUUUUCUUCAUUAGAGGGGUUUGUGAUCAUUAUCAUUCAUUUUUUCCCUUUCAAUGUCCCUUUAGCACUCACCACCCAUUCACAUUGUGAUGUGCAUCAUGGGAAUUAUAAUCCAUCUCAUAAAGCUGAAUCUAAUAUGCAAGAAGGUGCAGAUGGUCCAAUGACAAGAGCGAGAGCAAAACAAUUACAACGGGCCAUGACGAAUCAAAUUGCAAUGAUUGAAGCUGCGUCGGAGUUAAAAAUUAGCAAUCAUUUUGAAAUUGGUUCAAGGGUGCUUAUUUGCCUACAAUUGGAACUUGGAGAUGGGAAAAGCCCUUAAUGGUUCUUUUCAUGCUGGGCUACUUGUAUUUGGAUUGAUAAUGCAAGUGAAGGAAUUGAUGCUGUUUACGGUCAGAAUAGUAAAUGGAUUUGAACCCGAAUUUGAAGUCAUCCAAUGCAUGUGAAAACAAGAUUUAUGUAGGUAAAAUUCAAGUUCAGAACGUGAUCUUUCUAGAUUGUCCAACCAUGAUUGCAUUGGACUUUUGUGUCAAAAGUUAUGGUUGUUUUAAAUUUGGUCUGCUUAUGUUUUAGAAAUGUCAAAAAAAAACGUGUGUUAGUUAAAUUUGUCUACUUACUUUAUUAAAAGUCUAGUUUUUAGGCUUGACUUCUGUCAUGUUGAAUUCACCUAACUUUGGAGGGAUGUUCCAAAGAUAAAUAUGUAUCAGAAUAUGUAAUAAACAUUUUUGGC
rnacentral:lncRNA from 1 species